rnacentral:tRNA from 1 species
AUAAUGAUGUGCCUGAACAAAAGGAUUAUUUUGAUAGAAUAAAACAUGUAAAAAAAUUACGUUCAUUAAA